CAAUUUCUUUAUCUAAAUUUGCAUAAUUUUUAGAAUUCUAGUUGAGCUGUAGAGAUUCAAAUGUGAAUUUGAAUGGGGUGAGUAUAUUUAUUUGAUUUCUACUCAAGUCUUAUUUGGUUGGGGGUAAGUGAGCUAAGAAGUUUUAAAUUCUUGAAAGUGCACUUUCGAGGAAUUAGAAUUUCCAGGAAGUGAUUUAUUUGAAUCAAACGAGACUUCAGAUUUCUACCCCCUAGCAGUACCUAGGACAGUUGGCCCUAAAGCACUACAGAUUCAGGGUUAAACAGUAAAGUAAAUGAUGUGAUGGAAAGCAGUGUCGUUUAAGCAUUAUAUGAUCAACUUUUCAAACCUCAUUAUUUCA
rnacentral:misc_RNA from 1 species